rnacentral:rRNA from 1 species
GACGAACGCUGGCGGCGUGCCUAAUACAUGCAAGUCGAGCGAAGUUUUUCUGGUGCUUGCACUAGAAAAACUUAGCGGCGAACGGGUGAGUAACACGUAAAGAACCUGCCUCAUAGACUGGGACAACUAUUGGAAACGAUAGCUAAUACCGGAUAACAGUAUUUCUCGCAUGAGAGAGAUUUAAAAGUUGGUUAUGCUAACACUAUGAGAUGGCUUUGCGGUGCAUUAGCUAGUUGGUGGGGUAAAGGCCCACCAAGGCGACGAUGCAUAGCCGACCUGAGAGGGUGACCGGCCACACUGGGACUGAGACACGGCCCAGACUCCUACGGGAGGCAGCAGUAGGGAAUUUUCCGCAAUGGGCGAAAGCCUGACGGAGCAACGCCGCGUGAGUGAAGAAGGAUUUCGGUUCGUAAAGCUCUGUUGUUAGGGAAGAAUGGAUAUGUAGUAACACUACAUGUCAGAGACGGUACCUAACCAGAAAGCCACGGCUAACUACGUG